GCUGGGAUAGCGAAGCGGCCAAACGCACCUGGCUGUAAACCAGGCGACUUAUGUCUUCGGGGGUUCGAAUCCCUCUCCCAGCA
rnacentral:tRNA from 1 species